UUCCAGACUCCUACGGGAGGCAGCAGUGAGGAAUAUUGGUCAAUGGACGCAAGUCUGAACCAGCCAAGUCGCGUGCAGGAUGACGGCCCUCCGGGUUGUAAACUGCUUUUAGUUGGGAAUAAAAGGGGGCUCGUGAGCCCCGUAUUGUAUGUACCAUCAGAAAAAGGACCGGCUAAUUCCGUGCCAGCAGCCGCGGUAAUACGGAGGAUCCGAGCGUUAUCCGGAUUUAUUGGGUUUAAAGGGAGCGUAGAUGGGUUGUUAAGUCAGUUGUGAAAGUUUGCGGCUCAACCGUAAAAUUGCAAUUGAUACUGGCAGCCUUGAGUACAGGUGAGGUAGGCGGAAUUCGUGGUGUAGCGGUGAAAUGCUUAGAUAUCACGAAGAACUCCGAUUGCGAAGGCAGCCUACUAAACUGCCACUGACAUUGAUGCUCGAAAGUGUGGGUAUCAAACAGGAUUAGAUACCCGCGUAC
rnacentral:rRNA from 1 species